UUAUUAUUUAAGCUUAUUUAUUCACGGUAGCCUUUCAGAAGCCUGUUUUUCAAAGGGCCGUGCACACUUACUAUAAAAUAUUAUAAGAAUAUUAAAAUUAUUAACUAAAAAAAAAAAAAAAAAUAAACAAUCAUGCAUAAUAUACUCUAUUUACAUCGGCAAGGCAUAAUGCUUUGAUAUGGUUUGGCAGGAUGACCUCCCAAUUCAAAAACACAAGCCAUCUAUUAAUCUUUUAAAAGAACAGAUGGAAGUUUCAGGUAUUUCCAUAAUUGGAAGUUUUCCAUUAAAAUUUGGUUCCAUGAAACUGCUCCUCUAUAGGAGAAGCUUCGUUUUAAAAAAUUCGUCUUAGGUUUUGGUAGG